AGCCCCCGCCUCUCCCCCGGUAGGUUGUGCGGGAGAAGCGGCUAGGAGAAUAGCAGGGCGGGCGGGGCUGAAGCGGAGAAAGGAGGUUGGACGCUAACCCCCAUUCAUCCGCCAUCCCCGAGUGCCCUGGUGACCACGUGGUUCCUAGCCACGCCCACAGGCCACCCCCUGUCGUUGUUGGGUUAGUGCCCGGGAAUGCAUCUUUAGACACGGACCCUUGGAGAGCACCUCUCCGCGGAGGCCUCGGGGCACAGGGCAGUUAGAAAGGGACCGAGAUGAAGGAGACGGAGCCCUGCUUCCGGGGCCUUGCGGGGGAGAGAGAAGACACACCGCCUAUCCGCAAGUGGAAAUAUAAAAGGAGAAAAGACCUGGGGGAGCAUUUUGCUGGGCUACGCGUGCAAGUAGCCGUAACACGAGGUUGAAUUUGGAAGGUGCCCCAAGGAAGUUUCCUUAGCAACUUUUUAUAAUGUAAAUGAAUCGAGGAAUGAAGGAAAUGUGCUAUGGAAGCAUAUCUGUGUGUAUAUGAGGGGACAGGUUUAUUUUAAUGUCUUUUUGUAUGUCCGCUUAUGUGUGUUUGGGAGGAUAUAUAGGAGUAUACGUGUGUGUCUUGAGCGAUGUAUGUAUAUGUAUGUUCAUGUAUAUAAACACAGUGAUAGUUGUAUAUGAGUUUGUGUGCCUGGAAUGAGCCUCUGUGUUUGCACAGGUGUUUAUCUUUAUGUCCCUAAAUGUUAAGUAUGUGCGUCUACAUGAGAUUUAUGGACUUUCCUGAGUUUGUAUUUAAUCUGUGUAUGUAGGUGAAUGUGUGGGUUUGCGUACGUGACUGCAUACCUUGGGUAUGUAUUGCUUUCCUGUGCCAGUGGUGGGUAUGUGUGUGUGUAUGUGGGACUACGUGUGUCUUGGUGAGAUUGUGGUAUGAUUGUGUGUGUGUAUAUGGGAAUACGUUAAUGAGUCUGUGAACAGAGCUGGAGUGUGUCUUGAGGUUAUGUGUGUGUGUGUGUGUGACAGAUGAGAACAGAUGUGUUUUUCAGAGUCUGUGGAUGUGACUGUGUGUGUGUCUUGAUGUAUCUCUGGAGCCGUGAUUCAGUCUGUGAUGAGGGCCUGGGAUUCUUAAGGGUUGGGCUGGUUAAGGCGUUUCUUAGAGGAGGAGGUCCUUGGGGGGAGUGGGGACUGUGGAGAUAGGAAAAGCCUGGGGUGUGCUGGCCCAGGGACUCUCCAGGCUGGCGAUGUAGGCUGAAGCAAGGCAGAAGCUUUUAAUGCCGGAACCAGUUAUGGCGCCUCCUCUGCUUUCCUCCACCCUCUCACAUGCUAGGUCUGCUCCUCUGGUGGCCUCCUUCGGGUCCACCUUGUCAGUGGUCUUCUGCAGAGCGCAUGUCCUUGGUCAUUAACAGUAGCAACAUUACAGAGCACCUACUGUGUGUCUGCCCUGGAAAGCACUGAACUUGGUUCGCCCCUAGGAGGCAGGAACUUAGUAUCCCCCAUUUUCUGGGGGGAAACUGAGGAGGUGUGGUGCCUGUUCCUGGUUACACAGCUGGCGUGGGUGCCUCACACCCCACAGGCUGUGUGCCCGUUCAACUGCUCCACCAGGGUCUCUCAGCCCCGGCACUGCUGACAUUAGGGGCCACAUGAUCCAGCGUUGUAGGGGCCGGUCCUGUGCACUGUAGGAUGUUCAGCAGCAUCCCUUCCCUCUACCCACGAGAUGCCAGUUGUGAUCCCUCCCCAGCUGUGACAACCAAAAUAUCUCUCUAUAUUUCUAAAUGUCCCCUGGGGACAAAAAUCACCCCUGCUUGGGAGCCAGUGGGCUAGACUCUCCUGCCUCCCUGGAUGAAUGCUUUCUGAGGGGCGGCACCAUCCCCACCCUGUCCAGUGGCUUCCACGGUCCCUCUGCUUCCACACUGAUCGUCACUUCCAUGCAGGUAGCCCCUUGCCUCUCCCACGGUCAAACAGCAGGCUUACCAGCUGGGCCACCUUUCCCAGAAACUCAACUUCUUUGAGCCCCAGCCAUAGGAAGCACAGGGCUCAGGAGAUACCUCUAUAGCCCUUAUUAUUAUCCCUUGAGUCACGGGGGUUCCCUGGGGUCAGAGCCAAGAGGAAGAGGGCUGCAAGCCAGCUGCCCUCUCUGGUCCAGAGCUUUGGACUCUGCUGGUUCUGCGAGUUUGCUUUUCUGGUUCAGCGAGAAGAAAACAAUGCUGUGGUGUGGGGCCAAAGCUGGCCCCAUUUGAUGCUAUCAUAUUUAUGCUAUUUCAUCUUUGCAAUAAAACUGCCUGACUUUCCCCACCAGCAGAACCUGAUUUUAGUGAGCCAGUGCUGCACUGUACACAGGGCAGGUGCUCAGGAAGGGCAAGGCGGAGCCGUCAGCAGCGCUCUCGGCAUCUGAACCUGGGCCGGGCUCCAGCAGGGUGUCCAUGCUGCGGCAGGGCCAGCUGGCCACCAUGGCGUGGCCCGGGAGAGCCUGGGCGGCACGUAGAGGGAGUGCCGUGGCUCUGCACACGAGCAGGAGGCCUGAGUCUCCUGCUACAAACAGGAUGCAGGUGACAAAGCCCACGGGGGACUUCCAUGCCACCCCUGUCUCUGCCACUCGGGAAACUCUCUUCCCAUCUUGACUCUGUCCCUUUGCUUCACCAUCCCUCCCUCCGCUCUUCUGUUCUCGUGCAAUCCCUGCAGUGUCCCUGAUGUGUACCAGGCCCUUGCUCCAUCCCCUCGGGAGGCUUCAGAGCAAAGUGGUUAAGGGUGAGGCCUCUGCCACCUCAUCACCUGAGUCUCUGUGGUCUUGGGCAAGGCACUUCACCUCUCUGUGCCUCAGCUUCCUCAGUUCUAACAUGGGCACACAAAGAGGCCCUAUCUGGCAGGAUUAAAUGAGAUACUCCGUGUAAAGGAUGCUAGGCGUGUAGUAAGCCCUUAAUAAAUUGCAGCUGCCAUUAUUGCUAUUAUGCUUGAUUGACAGUGAAAUGCAAAUGAGCCCUUACGAAUUGCCAGGCAAUGUGCUAAGCCCUGGACAAUUCUUUUCUCAUUGAUGCUCUGCAGCUCUAGGAGGAAGGUGCUUUUAUUAGCCUCACAGCAGGGAAGAGGAAGCUGAGGUCCAGGGAGGUUAAGUAACUUACCAGAGUGACAGCGCUGAGAAUCUGAACCAGUGUUGUCCCUGCAAAGCCCAGCUGCCCUGAUCUCCUCUGAAAGCAGAUUUCCCCUGGGAAGGAGGGGCUCGUCUCCAGCCUGCGUCUCCCGGGGCAAUUGGAGAGGCCUGGAGAAGAAGGCAGUGAGGGGCCUGGGCAGGAGGAGGGGUUUGGCUCAGAGAGAGUGAAGUUUCUCUUGUUCAGCUUUUGAUGAAAUCACCUAGCACGGUGGGCUGUGGAGUCAUGACCUCCAAGAGGUGUUGCCAAGUUUUUACCAGUGAGUAAAGUUUAUUAUAAGCCAGGGUGUACGUUGUUCCAGUGCUUUUUGUUUGAAUUGGACCGUAGGGCAGAGGCAGACAGGUAUUGCCGUGCUACGUACGAGUCAGAGGACAGACGGGGGGAGGCCCGUUUUAGAGCUGAUGCCAGAGGAAGACAGUGUGUUUACCGGCAACGGUGAGAACUUGGCCAGUUCCUGUGGAUCAGGAAGUCAGAAGUGACUUAGCUGUGUAGACUCUGGCCUGGAUUCUUUCCUGAAGUUGCAAUCAAGAUGCCAGCCAGGUCUGAAAUCAUCUGAAGGCUUGUCUGGAGCUGGGGAGUCCCCUUCCAAGAUGGCUCGCUCGCAUGGCUGUUGGCGGGAGCCUCAGCUCUUCGCCAUGAGGACCACUCUAUGGGGCUGCUUGAGCAUCCUCACACCAUGGAGAUGGGCUUCCCCCAGAGCAAGGGAGAGCAAGGUGGAAGCCACAUUGUGUUUUAUACCUAGCUCCAGAAGUCAUGCACCAUGGUUUCCUGAAUAGCUUGUUGUUUACACGAGUCAGCCCUGCUGGGAGGGGACCACACAAGGAAGUGAAUACGAGGAGCUGAAAAUCAUGGGGCCAUGUUGGAGGUGGGCUAUCACACUGGUAAUCAUUGUUGACUUGUUUACUAUUAUUUGGAAGAUUCUGGAUCUCAAAUCAAAUCCAGUGUUCAAAAGUGGGCUGCGAACACAAAAAAGUUGGGAGCUGCUCAUCCAAUGGCUUCAUUUCAUCUGUAUCUGCCUGUGGGGUCCCCUGGGGGGCCAUGACUCCAGCAGUGUCCCAAGAUGACCCCAUCAGAAAUAAACCUCUACCAUCCCAUGACACUGAAAGCCUGUUAUCUGUGCCAGGUGCCAGCAAAGCACAGAUGCAUAGGAAGAAGCAGGAACUUUGCAGCCAGACGGAACUGUGUUCAAAUCCUGACUCCCCUCUUGAUGACCUGGGGACUCUGGACGAUUGGCUUAACCUCUCUGAGCCUGAGUGUGGUCGGGUGUAAAAUGGAUUGAGAUCAACUUCACAGGGUCGUUAGGGAGAUGAAAUACAGGAUGACAGAGCAAUGAUAAUAGGAGUCAGGUGAUCUGCCAAUGUUGACCCCUAGAUUUAUUAUUCAUACUGAUAACAAUAAAAUAAUAAUAAUAGCUCACAU